UCUCCCGCAGGGGGCGCACGAGGCUACCAGCUCUAGACUGGAGCUGCAGCUCCCCACAGGUUGGCCAGGCUGGCUUUGAAGGUCAUCCGGCCAGAGCUGUCCCCGCCCAGCCACCCUGCCACCCCGUGAAUCAGCUCUCCUGUCAGGGCCAGAUCUCUGUGUGGUUGGGAAAGGGGCCAGCCUCGCCAAGGUUGGUGUUUGUUCUGUUUCAAAAGGAAACAGUUUCAAGAGCAGGAGCUGGGACUGAGGUUGUGAAAUGAGAAGUCAGGCCAGGUGGGAAAUGGGGGAAGCUGAGCAUGGCCCCAUCGCACCAGGCCUGGGGUGGGAAGACAGGAAUGCAUGGGCUCAGGUGACCAGCAGGGUGGAGUCUUGAGGAGCAGGGCUCAGGAGCCACAGUGCCUGAGCUUGAAUCAUGCAACUCUGUGAGUCUGAAAAUGGAAACUGAGAUCAAAGAAAGGAGAUGUCUUGUUCAAGAUCACUAUGCAUCAAGGAAGUAGCAGAGGAAGGACUUGAACCUGGUUCCCCUGACCCUAGAGCAUUCAAUGACCUUGGACGUGCUCUCAAAGGACAAAAUUGGAGGGCAGGACAUGAGUGAAGACGGGGCUCAAGGAAUAAAGACAAGAGAAUGGCCUCUCGAGCUUGCACUCAAUGGUGAGCUCAGAGGGAGACUAGAAGUCAUAUAAAUUCCACAGCAUAGCAAAUUCCCAUGUGGGACCCAACUCCCAGGAAAUUUAAUCUGCAAGUAUUCACGUUAUUGAAUAAGUUUAAUCCCAGGAUCUUUGUAACCAGGGCCCCUGACCAAGGGCAGUUCAUUCUUCGUGGUGCCAUGCAGAUCUGAGAGGUCUUCACGCUCUUCCUGUUUAUCAUGUGUCCAUCCUGGUGUUCUUUAUCAUCUGGAAGCAUGUGAACAAAAGCGUCCCAAAG